rnacentral:ncRNA from 1 species
AGGUGGGGAUGACGUCAGAUCAUCACGGCCCUUACGUCCUGGGCUACACACGUGCUACAAUGGCAAGGACAAUGAGCUGCCAACCCGCGAGGGUGACCCCCACCCACCCGGCCCAGAUUUCUGGUCUUUGUGUAGCGACUGGAAAGACCGCGGGCGAACCAGGCUUACCAUCAGGGAUAAUGUCCCAGCUGUCAACCAGCAUUCGCCGCCUUCAUGUGUUAUUUUGAUGUUGAAGCGUCUGUGGCAGAGCUGGCAUUAUGAAUUUAUUUAUUCGUCUUGUAUU